rnacentral:rRNA from 1 species
UACGUAGGUGGCGAGCGUUAUCCGGAUUUACUGGGUGUAAAGGGCGCGUAGGCGGCCUGUCAAGUCAGUAGUGGAAGUCCAUCUUUCAAGGAUGGAAGUGCUACAGAAACUGAUGGGCUUGAGUGCAGGAGAGGUUAUCGGAAUUCCCGGUGUAGCGGUGAAAUGCGUAGAGAUCGGGAGGAACACCAGUGGCGAAGGCGGGUAACUGGACUGCAACUGACGCUGAGGCGCGAAAGUGUGGGGAGCAAACAGGAUUAGAUACCCGCGUA